UACCAGCACCCCGAGUUGUCGGGACGAUUAUUGGGCCUAAAGCAUCCGUAGCCUGUUCUGCAAGUCCUCCGUUAAAUCCACCUGCUUAACGGAUGGGCUGCGGGGGAUACCGCAGAGCUAGGAGGCGGGAGAGGCAAACGGUACUCAGUGGGUAGGGGUAAAAUCCAUUGAUCUACUGAAGACCACCAGUGGCGAAGGCGUUUGCCAGAACGCGCUCGACGGUGAGGGAUGAAAGCUGGGGAGCAAACCGG
rnacentral:rRNA from 1 species